rnacentral:misc_RNA from 3 species
AACGCACAUUGCGCCUCCUGGUAUUCCGGGAGGCAUGCCUGUUCGAGCGUCAUCAAACACAUCCUCAAGCAUUUUUGCUUGGUCCUGGAGGAAGAUGGUCUCUUGACUAUCCCCUCUGGAAUUCCUCAGCAGAGACCACAGCAGCCUCAGGUGUGAUAAUUCUACCUCGCUUGAGUGUUACUGUGGGCUCCCGCUGGAGAACAGCCCCCCAGCUUUUACCAUGUUUGACCUCGGAUCAGGUAGGGAUACCCGCUGAACUUAA